rnacentral:rRNA from 1 species
UACGUAGGCGGAAAAUUAAGUCAGUAGUGAAAUCCUGCAGCUUAACUGUAGAACUGUUAUUGAUACUGAUUUUCUUGAAUACAGUUGAGGUAGGCGGAAUAUGUAAUGUAGCGGUGAAAUGCUUAGAUAUUACAUAGAACACCGAUUGCGAAGGCAGCUUACUAAACUGUGAUUGACGCUGAGGCACGAAAGCGUGGGGAGCGAACAGGAUUAGAUACCCUGGUAGUCC